rnacentral:pre_miRNA from 1 species
UAACGAUGAUGGCGAUGAUGAUGAUGACGACGAUGAUGAUGACGAUGAUGAUGAUCAUCAUCAUCAUCAUUUUCAUCAUCAUCAUCAUCAUUUUCA